CACCCAUCUCUGUCAAUCCACCGCCAUCUUGAAACACCAAUCGCGACUCCCUGAUCUCUAGUGUGACAUCUGAUGCUUAAUCUCUCUCCGACCGCCUUUUUAUCUCCUUCUUCUCCAUCUCUUGCCCUUUCUUGCUUAACGUAACUCAAGCUCUCCGGUCUCUACAUGGAGUGGCAUCAGUCUUCGUCCUCUUCGACGACAACGACGGCGAGGCCGCCGGCGCCACCACAGGCAGCAGAAGGGGAGAAGAAGGCGAGGCUGCAGAAGGAACAAGCGUCCAACUGCCCUCGGUGUAACUCCACCAACACCAAAUUCUGCUAUUAUAACAACUACAGCCUCAGCCAGCCGCGCUAUUUCUGCAAGACCUGCCGCCGCUACUGGACCGAGGGCGGCUCCCUCCGCAAUGUCCCCGUCGGCGGCGGCUCCCGCAAGAACAAACGCCCCUCCUCCCUCUCCUCCUCCACUUCCUCCACCGCCACUUCCGCUGCUACAUCAAUAAUUCCACCUAAUCCCAAGAAGCUUCUCCUCCCCGGCGUCGGCGGUGAUUUCAUUCCCGCCUCGGGUGUCGCACCUAUUUCCUUUUCCACUACUACCACUACCCACAAGCUAACGCAGGAUGGGGUACAAGACCUCCACCUCGGCUUACCCCACCUGGUCCUCACUCCGCUACCGGACUUUGGCGCUACGAGUAGCAGCGCCACGGGACUACUUAGGCCGUUCUUGCCGUUGUCAACGCUUUCGGAAUUUUACUCCUCAUCCGGGUUCGGGUUAAUGCAGGAUCUGAUCAGGGCUCCCCCACUUAGCUUUCCGGUGGACGCUGGCGCCGGUGGCGGGAUUGGAGGAGUAAGUGGUGGUUUUGAGGCUGUAGGGAUGAGUAAUUCCGAAAAGACCGGCAGGCUUUUGUUCCCUUUUGAAGAUAUAAAGCCAUUAGUAGUCCACGAUCCAACAAAUACUAGUGCUGCUGCUCCUGCUCCUGCUCCUGCUGCUGGUGGUAAUGGUUCAGGUUCUGCUUCAGCUUCCGAGUUUGAGAUGAGUGGCAGAUCAAGCCAAGCUGCAGGGGAUCCGCCUGGAUUUUGGAGUGACAUCAUUGGCGAUUCAAGUGGAACCGGAGAAGGCUGGUAGGAAGAAGAAAAAAAGGGGGAGAUACCUCCAUUGCCAUCGAUGGAGCUAUAAAAUCAAAUAAAAUUAAAUAAAAUGCAGGGAUUUUGAAAUUUGAAGGAGAGUAACUAACACAAGAAAAAACAAGCAUGGAGUUUAGGUUUUACUUCUACAGCUUUACAUGUGAAGCUUCUCUUUUUUGUGCUGGCUUCAAAUUAAAAGUUAAUUAAAUUGGCAGCUGCAUGAAUGAGGUGUGAGGGGUGGUGUCUCAUUAUUCGUGCGGAGAUUCUUCCAGCUAUGAAGUCAGUAACGUGAAGCUAAGUAAGUACGAGGGAAGGGAUAAGUAGGUAUGGACGAGUUCUAAGUACAUUUCCUCCACAUGCAACGCAUAUGUGUGAAUAUAUUUGUAUUAUAGUAUAAAAUAAUAAGUAGGUCAUUUAGUUAUGGCAGGCAAAUGCAUGCAUGAGCCCUAUAAUAUCAUGCACAGAUAGAUUCACUGCGAGUGGGAAGACGAAUCUCUCCCAUAUCUUAACCUGUCACUUUGAUUUUAGAUUUGGACUGCUGAUGGAAAAAACUAUUUUAGUUGUUUUUUAUCUUUAUGAAAAGAAGGCAAACAGGAUUUCUAAAUUUUGUUUGGGAAGGGAAUAUAGCUAAAGUAACCUAGUUGCAUAAUCUAUUCUCUGUAGAUGUUGUGAUUGCAUGUUUCAUUGGUAAUCACGCAAAGUUUCAUUUGCAUCGGGCAGUUUAGUUUUGAUCAGAUUUGUUAGUGCUUCGUGAUUGUGUCAAUUGAUGAACAUAAUUUGAAGGUCAACUUAACGUCAAACAAGUGUUUUAAAUGCCUUGUAUUCAUCUUUCAUUUCUUCAGACUUUAAAGUGUUUGAUAAAAUUUGCCUCUUAAUUUUCUUGUCUUCAGAACGUUUGAAGGCCAACUUAGCAUCAAAUAAUUGUUUGAAUGCUUCUUUAUUCACCUUUCAUUAAUACAAUUAGCCUCUUAAUUCUAUCAGUGCUAGCUCUCUUUUUUGUAUUAAGAAAUAUUUUGUCCUAGAAUUUGUUAUUACAAAAUAGUGAGCUAAAUUUUUAAAAAUCAUAUAUUUUUUAGUUUCCUUUAUGAAUAGUUUGUGCAAUUCUGACUAAAGCCAUAGACAUAUAGGAACAAUAUAAUUUGUAGCUACUCUCUAUAUUCCGAUUUGCAUUAUACUUUUGAUUUUGUUAAAUCAAUUAAUAAUCAGUUGUUGCCGAGUAUAGUAAUUAAGAUUGCGAGUAUCAUUAUUUUCAUUGAGCAGAUCUUUGAUUACAAAAGUAUAGUUGAUGAUUAUAAGGCUAAAUUUGUUGCCAUUCAACAUUUUUACAUUGUUUUUAUUUAGUGGAUACAUCUAGAACAUCACAUCGUAGAGCUCAUACCGCAAACAAAGUGUUAUCAUCCUUCACGAGGAGGGAUGUCUACCUAUUAUAAAAAAAAAAAUGAAACCAUCCUUCAAUUAUAUCUCUAAUUGAAUUUUUUUAUGGUAUUGUAUUGCAUGAGAUGUCUUAUGGUUCUUAAUGAAGGAGUUUAUGAUUUUGUUAGAUGGGAGCUAGUCUUUGCUUAUCACUAUGCAAGUUAACUGAAAGUGUUGAGAUUUGAUUUUUUUCAAAAAAAAAAAGAAAAGAAAAAGAAGUCAUUAUAAUUCUUAUUUUUGCCAGAUGUGAAAACAUACUAGCAUAAUGCAGCUUUCUCAAUAACUUUAGGUUGAUUCAAAAUAGCAAUUCUUUUUGACUAUAUCAACCGAUGCAUUCUAAUUAUUUAUAUAUUAUUUUCUUAUCAAAUAAGCACAUCAGGUGAUGGCCAUUUUGGUUCAGAUAAAACUUCAGCAUUGUUGUAAUUCUUUUCGUAUUAAUCUCGUUUAUCUAACGGUGUCAGAGUUGAAUUAUAUUAAUUAAUAGUUUUUGUGUUUGUCGUAUUGUUUAUUCAGAUUUCAUCAUUUCAAUCUUUGCAGGACUUUGAAAUUCCUAAUGCAACGUGAAAAUAUUCGCAUUGAUUUUGUCUUACGAAUCUAUUUGAUAGUCAUUGAUAAAUCUGAGUCUUAACAAUUUUUACAUAUCCUGCUUAAAUCCUAAGUUUUUUUUUUGGAUAUUUUUAAAGUACAUUGUGAGAAAAAGUUAUGUAGUUCUCGCCAUCCUCAAAAUCAAUGGGAAAACAAAAAUUAGAUUCUUUGCCACUGAAGCGUUUAUCUGAAUUUGCUUAUAAAUAUAUCUUCAAGCACUUUUUGAAGUGGUGCUUGGUUGGCUGUAAUCCCACUAGUUGUUCACUUAAUUUGGAUACUCUUCGUGCAACUCGUAAAAUUUCAUUGAUGAAGCAAAAAAAUAAGCAAGUAAAUAGAGAAAAUAAAUGAACAUGCUUGCCAACAUAUUAUUUAGUAUGAUACCUAUGAUAACACAUAUGCUUACGUAAUUAUAUGCCGGUCCAGCACUCUUAAUUAUGCAGAUGAGCCUUUGGAUCAAAUGAUCGACCACUCACGAAGGUGUGAUCCUGUUUGAAAAUUACAAAGCUGGAAUGAUGGGUAUGGUGGAUUGAUUGUUCAUCAAGAGAAGACUUUUUACAUUACGGAAGAGCUUCCUUUUGAUUUUGUGUAUACGGAGAUGAGCUAACAAAAUGUCAGCGCUUUGAGACCAGGGGGAAAUUUUUAGCAAAGGUCUUCCGACGCUCAAGUCAGUAUAAGUUCGGACGGAUGAAUGAAGAACAAUAGAGUGAGUGUGAGAGUAAGUUACAGGUGUUCCGAGAACGUAUCUUGUCAACGGAGAGGACUUUUCCUUUAUAUAUCAUCUCUCAUAACCUCCUCAAUUAUGAGAUAGAAAAGUGUGUCAGAGGUCGUUAGAUAAAAGAGAGUGCAUAAUUUGAA